UACGGGAGGCAGCAGUGGGGGAUAUUGCGCAAUGGGGGAAACCCUGACGCAGCAACGCCGCGUGGAGGAUGACGGUUUUCGGAUUGUAAACUCCUUUUAUAAGGGACGAAUUAAGACGGUACCUUAUGAAUAAGCUCCGGCUAACUACGUGCCAGCAGCCGCGGUAAU
rnacentral:rRNA from 1 species